ensembl:lncRNA
AUGUACUUCUAUAUAUUCAGAUUUGUCUCUAUACAUUCAUAUUUACAUGUAUAUAUUCAGAUUUGUAUCUAUAUAUUCAGAUUUAUAUUUAUAUAUUCAGAUGUACUUCUAUAUAUUCAUAUUUACAUUUAUAUAUUCAGAUGUACUUCUAUAUAUUCAGAUUUGUCUCUAUACAUUCAGAUUUACAUUUAUAUAUUCAGAUUUGUAUCUAUAUAUUCAGAUUUACAUUUAUAUAUUCAGAUGUACUUCUAUAUAUUCAGAUUUGUAUCUAUUUAUUCAGAUUUGCAUUUAUAUAUUCAGAUGUACUUCUAUGUGUUCAGAUUUGUAUCUAUAUAUUCAUAUUUACUUUUAUGUAUUCAGAUGUACUUCUAUGUGUUCAGAUUUGUAUCUAUAUAUUCAUAUUUACAGUUAUAUAUUCAGAUGUACUUCUAUAUAUUCAGAUUUGUCUCUAUACAUUCAGAUUUACUGUACAUGUAUAUAUUCAGAUUUGUAUCUAUAUAUUCAGAUUUACAUAUAUAUACUGAGAUUUACAUGUAUAUAUUGAGAUUUGUAUCUAUAUAUUCAUAUUUACAUUUAUAUAUUCAGAUGUACUUCUAUAUAUUCAGAUUUGUAUCUAUAUAUUCAUAUUUACAUUUAUAUAUCCAGAUGUACUUCUAUAUAUUCAGAUUUGUCUCUAUACAUUCAGAUUUACAUUUAUAUAUUCAGAUUUGUAUCUAUAUAUUCAGAUUUACAUUUAUAUAUUCAGAUGUACUUCUAUAUAUUCAGAUUUGUCUCUAUAUAUUCAGAUUUACAUGUAUAUAUUCAGAUUUGUAUCUAUGUGUUCAGAUUUGUAUCUAUAUAUUCAUAUUUACUUUUAAGUAUUCAGAUGUACUUCUAUGUGUUCAGAUUUGUAUCUAUAUAUUGAUAUUUACAUUUAUAUAUUCAGAUGUACUUCUACAUAUUCAUAUUUACCUUUAUGUAUUCAGAUGUACUUCUAUAUAUUCAGAUUUGUAUCUAUAUAUUCAGAUUUACAUUUAUAUAUUGAGAUUUACAUGUAUAUAUUCAGAUUUGUAUCUAUAUAUUCAGAUUUACAUUUAUAUAUUCAGAUGUACUUCUAUGUGUUCAGAUUUGUAUCUAUAUAUUCAUAUUUACCUUUAUGUAUUCAGAUGUACUUCUAUAUAUUCAGAUUUGUAUCUAUAUAUUCAUAUUAACAUUUAUAUAUUCUAUAUAUAA